rnacentral:rRNA from 1 species
AGUCGACGCUUUGUGGUUCAACUGAUUUGAAGAGCUUGCUCAGAUAUGACGAUGAACAUUGCAAAGAGUGGCGAACGGGUGAGUAACACGUGGGAAACCUACCUCUUAGCAGGGGAUAACAUUUGGAAACAGAUGCUAAUACCGUAUAACAAUAGCAACCGCAUGGUUGCUACUUAAAAGAUGGUUCUGCUAUCACUAAGAGAUGGUCCCGCGGUGCAUUAGUUAGUUGGUGAGGUAAUGGCUCACCAAGACGAUGAUGCAUAGCCGAGUUGAGAGACUGAUCGGCCACAAUGGGACUGAGACACGGCCCAUACUCCUACGGGAGGCAGCAGUAGGGAAUCUUCCACAAUGGGCGAAAGCCUGAUGGAGCAACGCCGCGUGUGUGAUGAAGGGUUUCGGCUCGUAAAACACUGUUGUAAGAGAAGAAUGACAUUGAGAGUAACUGUUCAAUGUGUGACGGUAUCUUACCAGAAAGGAACGGCUAAAUACGUGCCAGCAGCCGCGGUAAUACGUAUGUUCCAAGCGUUAUCCGGAUUUAUUGGGCGUAAAGCGAGCGCAGACGGUUAUUUAAGUCUGAAGUGAAAGCCCUCAGCUCAACUGAGGAAUUGCUUUGGAAACUGGAUGACUUGAGUGCAGUAGAGGAAAGUGGAACUCCAUGUGUAGCGGUGAAAUGCGUAGAUAUAUGGAAGAACACCAGUGGCGAAGGCGGCUUUCUGGACUGUAACUGACGUUGAGGCUCGAAAGUGUGGGUAGCAAACAGGAUUAGAUACCCUGGUAGUCCACACCGUAAACGAUGAGUG